AUGCUGGCAAAGCAAUGUUGGAGGUUGAUUGAGAACAAUGCGUCAUUGUGUGCCAAAGUGUUGAGAGCUAGAUACUACCCCAAUGGGGAUAUUCUUAACUGUGAAUUAAAAAAAGGGUCAUCGUAUGUAUGGCGGAGUAUAUGGGCAGGGAUCCAAACCUUCAAGAAGGGAUGCACUUGGAGAGUAGGAGAUGGUGCAAAAAUAGAUAUUUGGAGUGAUUGUUGGAUCCCAAGCAGUGCAUCAAGGAAAGUGGUGACAGUAAGGGGUAAUCAACUAUUGUCAAGAGUGAAUGAUCUUAUAGACCCAGUUACAGGGGAGUGGGAUGAACAACUUAUCCGCGACAACUUUUGGCAUAUUGAUGCAAAGCGUAUUUUGCAGAUUCCGCUACACCACCAGGUAACGGAGGAUUAUGUUGCAUGGCACCUUACAAAAACCGGGAUUUUCUCAGUACGGUCAGCCUACUACAAAGAAUGGGAGGAUACAUACAAUGAUAGUACUAGUCAGAGUCGCCAUGGUGGUUCCCGGCCACACCCAGUAUGGAGGAAAAUUUGGAGUCUAAGAUUGCCGGGAAAAAUUAAGAUCUUCCUAUGGAGAUGUCUACAUAAUGCUAUCCCCUGUUUUUGUGUUCUCGCAAACCGUCACAUUGAUAGUAUUUCUCAAUGCCCAAUUUGCAAAUCAGGAGUAGAAGAUAUCAAGCAUGCUUUAUUUAACUGCAUGAGAGCAAAGGCAGUAUGGGCUGCCCUUGGGAUUGAGAGGGUCAUACAUGAUGCGUCGCUUGUUGAUCGCUCGGGUUCCGGCGUGCUGGAAUUUCUCUUGUGUGAUCAAUCGACACAACACAAUUAUGACGACUCGAUAGAGCUUCCUGAGUUGAUAGCUACAGCGAGCUGGUUCGUAUGGUGGCAGCGUAGAUAGCAGGUCAGAGGGGAGGAAGUGCAGACGCCGUUGCGAUCUGCACUAGCCAUCCAUGCAUUGGCUCUUAACUUCACACGAGCGGUAGCAAAAUAAACUACUGCACCUAGACGGAACACAUGGCCCAUUGUCUUGGCAGCGCAACAAAUUCUAAACGUUGAUGCGUCUUUUAUUGAGGAUCUGCAUAUGGGGUCAUGUGGGGCAAUAGUUAGAGACCACAGAGGUAAUUUCAUUGCUGCUUCUACUUCUCGCCUUGAGCAUGUGGCAGAUGUCGUCUCUGCGGAAGCGGCGGCACUACUUGAAGGUUUAAAGUUACUUCAGAGUAUGGGGUGCAAUAAUGUCUUGGUGAGGAUGGAUAAUUCUGUUGUGGUCGAUGCUAUACAUCUGAAUGAGGGACAUUCUAUGAUGGCGGCUCCAAUUUUAGAUGAUUGCAGAGAGUUAUUACGAGAGUUCAGGAAGGUUACUAUUGGGCACUGUAAUAGAGAAUCAAAUGUAGUUGCUCAUGAGCUAGCUGAGUGGGGGCGUGUAAACACCCUUCUUUAUGGAUGGAUGCACCUCGAUUACUAUUGCUAA
rnacentral:rRNA from 1 species